UACGUAGGGGGCAAGCGUUGUCCGGAUUUAUUGGGCGUAAAGAGCGUGUAGGCGGCCAUACAGGUCCGUUGUGAAAACUGGAGGCUUAACCUCCAGACGUCGAUGGAAACCGUAUGGCUAGAGUCCGGAAGAGGAGAGUGGAAUUCCUGGUGUAGCGGUGAAAUGACGCAGAUAUCAGGAAGAACACCCGUGGCGAAGGCGGCUCUCUGGGACGGUACUGACGCUGAGGAGCGAAAGCGUGGGGAGCGAACAGG
rnacentral:rRNA from 1 species